CCUACGGGUGGCAGCAGUGGGGAAUAUUGCACAAUGGGCGCAAGCCUGAUGCAGCCAUGCCGCGUGUGUGAAGAAGGCCUUCGGGUUGUAAAGCACUUUCAGCGGGGAGGAAGGCGUUAAGGUUAAUAACCUUGGCGAUUGACGUUACCCGCAGAAGAAGCACCGGCUAACUCCGUGCCAGCAGCCGCGGUAAUACGGAGGGUGCAAGCGUUAAUCGGAAUUACUGGGCGUAAAGCGCACGCAGGCGGUCUGUCAAGUCGGAUGUGAAAUCCCCGGGCUCAACCUGGGAACUGCAUUCGAAACUGGCAGGCUAGAGUCUUGUAGAGGGGGGUAGAAUUCCAGGUGUAGCGGUGAAAUGCGUAGAGAUCUGGAGGAAUACCGGUGGCGAAGGCGGCCCCCUGGACAAAGACUGACGCUCAGGUGCGGAAGCGUGGGGAGCAAACAGGAUUAGAUACCCCUGUAGUC
rnacentral:rRNA from 1 species